GUGAGGAAUAUUGGUCAAUGGGCGCAAGCCUGAACCAGCCAUGCCGCGUGCAGGAAGACGGUCCUAUGGAUUGUAAACUGCUUUUAUUUGGGAAUAAACUCCGGUACGUGUACCGGCCUGAAGGUACCAAAUGAAUAAGCACCGGCUAACUCCGUGCCAGCAGCCGCGGUAAUACGGAGGGUGCAAGCGUUAUCCGGAAUCAUUGGGUUUAAAGGGUCCGCAGGCGGUCUUAUAAGUCAGUGGUGAAAGCCUACAGCUCAACUGUAGAACUGACAUUGAUAAUGUAGGACUUGAAUUCGAUCGAAGUGGGCGGAAUGUGACAUGUAGCGGUGAAAUGCUUAGAUAUGUCACAGAACACCGAUAGCGAAGGCAGCUCACUAGGUCUGGAUUGACGCUCAGGGACGAAAGCGUGGGGAGCAAACAGGAUUAGAAACCCGAGUAGUCC
rnacentral:rRNA from 1 species